rnacentral:misc_RNA from 1 species
AAGUCGUAACAAGGUAACCGUAGGUGAACCUGCGGUUGGAUCAUUAACAAUUUUAGCGGGAGCUCGUCUUUGGAUGAGCUCUGGCGAAAAAUCAAUCACCUUUUGUGCACUGUAUGUCUCUGGCGGCCGGGGCAGAGUGAUCUAUGUUGCAAAAAUAGGUUGCAUUGCUCUGUCAGCUUGGUUCACCAAUGGACCAGGCCGUGGACAAACCGCCAACCACUUUGUUUAACUCCCUGUUGUAAUCUCCUGUCUAACAAUUUACCUUGUACUAAACAUACAAUAAAACUUUUGGCAACGGAUCUCUUGGCUCUC